rnacentral:lncRNA from 12 species
CAGGGAUGUAAGGUUAAGGAAGAACAGAGGAUGGGGAGAUAAGUCAGGAUGAUCAGAUAUAGUCCAGAACCCAGAGAAAUUAAUUAUAGUGGAUUGUCAUGAUAAAGACCAUGAAGAGUACGGAGCUUAAUAGAAAAAAAAAAUGAGAAUGAAAUAGCAGAAGCCUGGAAGAAGCCAAAAAGGACGGAUAGGAAGAAAGAAAGUAUCUGCAAAGGAAUGUUUUCUCUUUAG